rnacentral:rRNA from 1 species
GUGGCUACGAGGACGAACGCUUGGCGGUGUAGCCUUCACACAUGCAAGUCGAACGAGGUAGCAAUACCUAGUGGCGGACGGGUGAGUAACGCGUGGGAAUCUGCCUUUAGAUGGGGGAUAACGGGUCGAAAGACUCGCUAAUACCGCAUAUGACGAAAGUUGAAAGGAGUAAUCCGUCUAAAGAUGAGCCCGCGUCCGAUUAGCUAGUUGGUAGAGUAAAAGCCUACCAAGGCGACGAUCGGUAGCUGGUCUGAGAGGAUGAUCAGCCACAAUGGGACUGAGACACGGCCCAUACUCCUACGGGAGGCAGCAGUGGGGAAUUUUACGCAAUGGGCGAAAGCCUGACGUAGCGACACCGCGUGAGCGAAGAAGCCCCUUGGGGUGUAAAGCUCUGUCAGCUGGAACGAAAAAAUGACGGUACCAGCAGAGGAAGCAUCGGCUAACUACGUG